rnacentral:rRNA from 1 species
GAUGAACGCUAGCGGCAGGCUUAACACAUGCAAGUCGAGGGGUAUUGGUUUUCGGACCAAGAGACCGGCGCACGGGUGCGUAACGCGUAUGCAAUCUACCUUUUGCAGAGGGAUAGCCCCAGAGAAAUUUGGAUUAAUACCUCAUAGUAUAGUACUUUGGCAUCAAGGAACUAUUAAAGUCACAACGGCAAAGAUGAGCAUGCGUCCCAUUAGCUAGUUGGUAAGGUAACGGCUUACCAAGGCUACGAUGGGUAGGGUCCUGAGAGGGAGAUCCCCCACACUGGUACUGAGACACGGACCAGACUCCUACGGGAGGCAGCAGUGAGGAAUAUUGGACAAAUGGGCGGCCAAGACCUGAUCCAGCCACGCCGCGU